AGAGUUUGAUCAUGGCUCAGAAUGAACGUUGGCGGCGUGGAUUAGGCAUGCAAGUCGAGCGAGAAACCAAUUAGCUUGCUAUGAGGUGGACAGCGGCGAAAGGGAGAGUAACGCGUGGUUACGUGCCCUCGGGACCGGGAUAGUGUCGGGAAACUGGCAGUAAUACUGGAUAACAUCUUUGGAUCAAAUGGUGAGAUUCCGCCCGAGGAUCGGACCGCGUACUAUUAGCUUGUUGGCGGGGUAACGGCCCACCAAGGCUGCGAUGGUUACCGGGUGUGAGAGCAUGGCCCGGCCCACUGGGACUGAGACACUGCCCAGACAUCUACGGAUGGCUGCAGUCGAGAAUCUUCGGCAAUGGACGAAAGUCUGACCGAGCGACGCCGCGUGCGGGAUGAAGGCCCUCGGGUUGUAAACCGCUGUCAGUUGGGAGGAAAUUCAUGGGGGUUCUCCCCUGUGAUUGACCGAGCUUCAGAGGAAGGACGGGCUAAGUUCGUGCCAGCAGCCGCGGUAACACGAACCGUCCAAACGUUAUUCGGUAUCACUGGGCCUAAAGCGUGCGUAGGCGGCUUGGUAGGUGAGAUGUGAAAUCCCACGGCUCAACCGUGGAAUUGCGUUUCAAACCCCCAAGCUCGAGGAAGAUAGGGGUGAUGGGAACUU
rnacentral:rRNA from 1 species